AGUGAACGCUGGCGGUAGGCCUAACACAUGCAAGUCGAACGGCAGCACAGUAAGAGCUUGCUCUUACGGGUGGCGAGUGGCGGACGGGUGAGGAAUACAUCGGAAUCUACUUUUUCGUGGGGGAUAACGUAGGGAAACUUACGCUAAUACCGCAUACGACCUACGGGUGAAAGCAGGGGAUCUUCGGACCUUGCGCGAUUGAAUGAGCCGAUGUCGGAUUAGCUAGUUGGCGGGGUAAAGGCCCACCAAGGCGACGAUCCGUAGCUGGUCUGAGAGGAUGAACCGCCAACCUGGAACUUAGACACGGUCCAGACUCCUACGGGAGGCAGCAGUGGGGAAUAUUGGACAAUGGGCGCAAGCCUGAUCCAGCCAUACCGCGUGGGUGAAGAAGGCCUUCGGGUUGUAAAGCCCUUUUGUUGGGAAAGAAAAGCAGCAGGUUAAUACCCCGCUGUUCUGACGGUACCCAAAGAAUAAGCACCGGCUAACUUCGUG
rnacentral:rRNA from 1 species